UCCGUAGGGGGCGAGCGUUGUCCGGGUUCAUUGGGCGUAAAGAGCUCGUAGGCGGCUUGGCAAGCCGGGUGUGAAAACUCCAGGCUCAACCUGGAGACGCCACCCGGGACUGCUAUGGCUAGAGUCCGGUAGGGGAUCACGGAAUUCCUGGUGUAGCGGUGAAAUGCGCAGAUAUCAGGAAGAACACCCGUGGCGAAGGCGGCUCUCUGGGACGGUACUGACGCUGAGACGCGAAAGCGUGGGGAGCGAACAGG
rnacentral:rRNA from 1 species